rnacentral:ncRNA from 1 species
AACGAGGAAUUCCCAGUAAGCGCGAGUCAUAAGCUCGCGUUGAUUACGUCCCUGCCCUUUGUACACACCGCCCGUCGCUACUACCGAUUGAAUGAUUUAGUGAGGUCUUCGGACCGAUACCCGGAGCGGCCUUUCGGUUGCGCCGGUGUGUUGGAAAGAUGACCAAACUUGAUCAUUUAGAGGAAGUAAAAGUCGUAACAAGGUUUCCGUAGGUGAACCUGCGGAAGGAUCAUUA